CCUACGGGAGGCUGCAGUGGGGAAUAUUGGACAAUGGGCGAAAGCCUGAUCCAGCCAUGUCGCGUGUGUGAAGAAGGCCUUCGGGUUGUAAAGCACUUUCAGUGGGGAAGAAAGCCUUGGGGCUAAUACCCUCGAGGAAGGACAUCACCCACAGAAGAAGCACCGGCUAACUCCGUGCCAGCAGCCGCGGUAAUACGGAGGGUGCGAGCGUUAAUCGGAAUUACUGGGCGUAAAGCGCGCGUAGGCGGUCUGAUAAGCCGGUUGUGAAAGCCCCGGGCUCAACCUGGGAACGGCAUCCGGAACUGUCAGGCUAGAGUGCAGGAGAGGAAGGUAGAAUUCCCGGUGUAGCGGUGAAAUGCGUAGAGAUCGGGAGGAAUACCAGUGGCGAAGGCGGCCUUCUGGACUGACACUGACGCUGAGGUGCGAAAGCGUGGGUAGCAAACAGGAUUAGAUACCCCUGUAGUC
rnacentral:rRNA from 1 species